GUCAACGACCAUACCCCGUUGUAAAUUACCGGUUCUCGUCCGAUCACCGAAGUCAAGCAGCGGUGGGCGCGGAUAGUACUUGGAUGGGUGACCGCCUGGGAACACCGCGUGUUGUUGACA